rnacentral:rRNA from 1 species
GACGAACGCUGGCGGCGUGCCUAAUACAUGCAAGUAGAACGCUGAAGGAGGAGCUUGCUUCUCUGGAUGAGUUGCGAACGGGUGAGUAACGCGUAGGUAACCUGCCUGGUAGCGGGGGAUAACUAUUGGAAACGAUAGCUAAUACCGCAUAAUAGUAGAUGUCGCAUGACAUUUGCUUAAAAGGUGCAAUUGCAUCACUACCAGAUGGACCUGCGUUGUAUUAGCUAGUUGGUGAGGUAACGGCUCACCAAGGCAACGAUACAUAGCCGACCAGAGAGGGUGAUCGGCCACACUGGGACUGAGACACGGCCCAGACUCCUACGGGAGGCAGCAGUAGGGAAUCUUCGGCAAUGGACGGAAGUCUGACCGAGCAACGCCGCGUGAGUGAAGAAGGUUUUCGGAUCGUAAAGCUCUGUUGUAAGAGAAGAACGAGUGUGAGAGUGGAAAGUUCACACUGUGACGGUAUCUUACCAGAAAAGGACGGCUAACUACGU